AUAUUUUAGUUUCUUCUCCACAUUAAUCUCUUACACUAGUUGUUUUCUAUCUUCUAGUCGAAGUGUUGGAACUUUUGAAAAGAAUGGAUGGUUGUUAUCCAAACACAUUGAUCGUUUAUCGUAUACUACUCACCAUUCUGGUUUCAGUUGCUUCCACGAAGAUAAAUUUUUUAAAAUUAAAACUCAUAAAAAAUUAUUUACGUUCGACUAUAUCUCAAGAGCGAUUGAAUGGUUUGGCGCUGAUAUCUAUAGAACAUGAACUGGUUGAUAAGCUCGAUUAUAAAAAAUUUGCAGGAGCAAAAGUAAGAAUGAUUAUGUUUCGCAAUAAAGAAAAAUGAAAAUUCUGUUUUUUUUGCUUGUAAUGAGAUUUCUCUAUA
rnacentral:sRNA from 1 species